rnacentral:rRNA from 1 species
GACGAACGCUGGCGGCGUGCUUAACACAUGCAAGUCGAACGAAGAGCGAUGGAAGCUUGCUUCUAUCAAUCUUAGUGGCGAACGGGUGAGUAACGCGUAAUCAACCUGCCCUUCAGAGGGGGACAACAGUUGGAAACGAUUGCUAAUACCGCAUACGAUCUGACCUCGGCAUCGAGGAUAGAUGAAAGGUGGCCUCUAUUUAUAAGCUAUCACUGAAGGAGGGGAUUGCGUCUGAUUAGCUAGUUGGAGGGGUAACGGCCCACCAAGGCGAUGAUCAGUAGCCGGUCUGAGAGGAUGAACGGCCACAUUGGGACUGAGACACGGCCCAGACUCCUACGGGAGGCAGCAGUGGGGAAUCUUCCGCAAUGGACGAAAGUCUGACGGAGCAACGCCGCGUGAGUGAUGACGGCCUUCGGGUUGUAAAGCUCUGUUAAUCGGGACGAAAGGCCUUCUUGCGAAUAGUUAGAAGG